rnacentral:tRNA from 5 species
GGAGAGGUGCUCGAGUGGUUGAAGAGGCACGCCUGGAAAGCGUGUAUACCCCUAAAGGGUAUCACGAGUUCGAAUCUCGUUCUCUCCGCAA